GAUGAACGCUGGCGGCGUGCCUAAUACAUGCAAGUCGAGCGAACAGACGAGGAGCUUGCUCCUCUGACGUUAGCGGCGGACGGGUGAGUAACACGUGGAUAACCUACCUAUAAGACUGGGAUAACUUCGGGAAACCGGAGCUAAUACCGGAUAACAUGUUGAACCGCAUGGUUCAACAGUGAAAGACGGUCUUGCUGUCACUUAUAGAUGGAUCCGCGCCGCAUUAGCUAGUUGGUAAGGUAACGGCUUACCAAGGCAACGAUGCGUAGCCGACCUGAGAGGGUGAUCGGCCACACUGGAACUGAGACACGGUCCAGACUCCUACGGGAGGCAGCAGUAGGGAAUCUUCCGCAAAGGGCGAAAGCCUGACGGAGCAACGCCGCGUGAGUGAAGAAGGUCUUCGGAUCGUAAAACUCUGUUAUUAGGGAAGAACAAAUGUGUAGGUAACUAUGCACGUCUUGACGGUACCUAAUCAGAAAGCCACGGCUAACUACGUG
rnacentral:rRNA from 1 species